GCCUGAAUAGCUCAGUUGGUAGAGCAUAGGCUUCUUAAUCUCUCAGGAUCAUGGGUUUGAGCUCCAGGUUAGGCA